rnacentral:rRNA from 1 species
AUUGAACGCUGGCGGCAGGCUUAACACAUGCAAGUCGAGCGAGAGGCGGACGGGUGAGUAAUGUCUGGGAAACUGCCUGAAGGAGGGGGAUAACUAAUGGAAACGGUAGAUAAUACCGCAUACCAUCAGAUGUGCACAGAUGGGAUUAGCUAGUAGGUGGGGUAAUGGCUCCCCUAGGCGACGAUCCCUAGCUGGUCUGAGAGGAUGACCAGCCACCCUGGAACUGAGACACUGUCCAGACUCCUACGGUAGGCAGCAGUGGUGAAUAUUGCCCAAUGGGCGCAAUCCUGAUGCAGCCAUGCCGCGUGUGUUAAGAAGGCCUUCGGGUUGGAAAGCACUUUCAGCGAGGAGGCGUUACUCGCAGAAGAAGCACCGGCUAACUCCGUGCCAGCAGCCGCGGUAAUAC